GAUGAACGCUAGCGGCAGGCUUAACACAUGCAAGUCGAGGGGUAGGAGAAGCUUGCUUUUCUGAGACCGGCGCACGGGUGCGUAACGCGUAUGCAAUCUACCUUUCACAGAGGGAUAGCCCAGAGAAAUUUGGAUUAAUACCUCAUAGUAAUACGACUUGGCAUCAAGAUGUAUUUAAAGAUUUAUCGGUGAAAGAUGAGCAUGCGUCCCAUUAGCUAGUUGGUAUGGUAACGGCAUACCAAGGCAACGAUGGGUAGGGGUCCUGAGAGGGAGAUCCCCCACACUGGUACUGAGACACGGACCAGACUCCUACGGGAGGCAGCAGUGAGGAAUAUUGGACAAUGGGCGCAAGCCUGAUCCAGCCAUGCCGCGUGCAGGAUGACGGUCCUAUGGAUUGUAAACUGCUCUUAUACAGGAAGAAACACCUCUACGUGUAGAGACUUGACGGUACUGUAAGAAUAAGGAUCGGCUAACUCCGUGCCAGCAGCCGCGGUAAUACGGAGGAUCCAAGCGUUAUCCGGAAUCAUUGGGUUUAAAGGGUCCGUAGGCGGUCAGGUAAGUCAGUGGUGAAAGCCCAUCGCUCAACGGUGGAACGGCCAUUGAUACUGUCUGACUUGAAUUAUUAGGAAGUAACUAGAAUAUGUAGUGUAGCGGUGAAAUGCUUAGAGAUUACAUGGAAUACCAAUUGCGAAGGCAGGUUACUACUAAUUGAUUGACGCUGAUGGACGAAAGCGUGGGUAGCGAACAGGAUUAGAUACCCUGGUAGUCCACGCCGUAAACGAUGGAUACUAGCUGUUGGGAGCAAUCUCAGUGGCUAAGCGAAAGUGAUAAGUAUCCCACCUGGGGAGUACGAACGCAAGUUUGAAACUCAAAGGAAUUGACGGGGGCCCGCACAAGCGGUGAAGCAUGUGGUUUAAUUCGAUGAUACGCGAGGAACCUUACCAAGGCUUAAAUGUAGAUUGACCGUUGGAAACAG
rnacentral:rRNA from 1 species